rnacentral:tRNA from 1 species
AAGUAUGAAACAAAUUAAUUGUAAUUAGUUUCGACCUAGUAGUAAGAUAAUAUUAUUAUCCAUACUUA